rnacentral:ncRNA from 2 species
CAGCGUUCUCAGGGCGGGGUGAGAUUCCCCACCGGCGGUGAUGGUGGCGUGGCGACACGACCACACGAGUGCCGCGAGCGCCCAUGUGCCGAUUCAUUUCGGUGCCUGGGGUCAGCAGACCCGGUGAGAUCCCGGGACCGACGGUAAGGUGUCUGGCAACAGGCUCCAGAGUCCGGAUAAAAGAGAGCGCGA